rnacentral:rRNA from 1 species
AUGACGGCGAAAGUGGCCGGCUGCCGGAAGCGCGGGGCGGAGGCCUUCAUGGAGGACCCCUUCGCGGCGCUCCCGCCGUUGAACACGAAGAGGGGGCGAUGCUCGCCGUCCGCCGCCGCCGACGUGGCCGAACUCGGGGUCAGCAUGGACUUCGACCCCGUCGACGCGCUCCAGCUCAUCUUCCCCGGCGCCGAUCCGCAGCUUCUUCGGGGCUAUUUUGAAGCAUCAGGAAAUGUCUUGGAUGCUGCAAUCAGAGGCUUCAAGGAUUAUUUGGCAUCGGGUUCAUCACCGACCAAUGCUGAUGCGGCCUCAUCUGGAGUGGCAUCUGAUGUGGCGAAGAUGAAUACUCCAACAGACGGUACUGACUGGGCAGAGCUAAUAGUCAAGGAGAUGUCGGCUGCUUCAGAUUUGAUCGACGCCAAGAAUCGAGCCUUCAGGAUACUUGAAUUGUUUGACAAAUCUGCCGCAGACUGCAAUACUCCUGAUGAAAAGCAGAAAAUGUGUGAGGAGCACAAGAUACUGAAGCAGAUGCUGGGAGGCCUGCUUCACCAGAACGGCGUCCUGAAGAGGGCCUUUCUUAUCCAGCACAACCGGCUCAAGGACUACCAGGACAUGGUGCAGGAGCGGUCCCAGUUCAAGGAGAUCGUCGGCAAGUACCAGCAGCAGAUCAAGGCGCUGGAGGAUAGGAACUAUGUGCUGUCGUUGCAUCUCGCGCAGUCGGAUCAUCGGAGUGGCAUAUCUGGGCACCGCAACCCCGACGUCUUCUAG